CAGGCGGUUGCCACGGCAACGGGCGUGCUUAACGACAAAGAGAGAGAGUAAAACGAUGAUGAGAAGCUAAGCACUUCCAGCCGCUCUGCUUUCUUUGUUGAGGUCAUCCGUGAUGAUAGAUGGGCUGUGUACGCACUAACUAGACCGGGAUGUGCCACACAGAAAUUGCUAUCCCCUCAAAAAUCUCAUUGAGUAACCAGGUGUACAUCAGGACUGGAGCCGGUGGUCUAAACAGAGAUUGAUGACAGUUUGGAAGGCAGGAGAAAUCAGGCUUAAGAAAACAGCCGGAUCAGAUUCCAAUCGGAGGCUCAGUCUGGGGCUGGCCUUGCUGAAAAGGCCGAGCUCAUUCCAUUUCCAGCGAUGGGAGUGAUUGGGGAGAAGUGAGCCUGAAGAUUGCUGAAGUAAUUAACAUUCGCGGCUGGUUGGCAGAUCCAAUCGUCUUGUCUCGGAUGCAGGAGGAGCCGUUAAUUGGAGGUCAUUGUCUCAAGGUGACUCGGAACAUCUGGAGCUGUUCGCCACAAUAUACGAAGCAAUUUAGUUGCAGACAGGAGCUGUGAAGAGACCGGACUCCUGCCCUCUGGUGACUCCAAACAUUGUGGCUGACGACCCUGUCAAGGUUACAGCUCAUAGUUCAUCUGCAUACAAAGAAAGUCCUAGCAGGCAACACAAUUCAGUUGAUUCCUCUUGGAAUUAAUCGUGUCCGAAGAAAAACCAAAACCAAACAGAUUUAUGCACCUGAUGAAAAAGCUGAGUGUCCCUGGUGGAAAAUUAGGAAGUGAUGUGUGUCCAUGUCAGAACGUCAGUGAAUAAAUGAAUAAUGCGUUAGCUUCUUAGGAGGUCCUCACAGGCAUCUGAGUCUUCCUGACAUGAAUAUUAAACCUCCAUGCAGGUGCAUCCUGAGUUUUUUUCUCUCUCUAUUUUUACACAUUUUUGGAAAAUAUCCAGAGCAGAGCAAACUGACAGAGAAGGGGGAUGAUGGCAGAAGACAGCAAAGCACAGGAAAAAAUAUUUGUGAGAUACACUGCAGACGGAGACCACAUAGUGUGGAAUAUUGAUGGACAGACCCAAAAUACUGACAGAACAAGUUAAGGCUCAGACAGCAUCCAUAUUGACAGACGGCAGUAAUUGAUUAGUCAUUCACACCACUGGGCUUCCCAGUGAAAGGAAAAGGACAGAGGCUUUCACGACAAAAUCCUUUUGCUGGAUUUCAUCUCAGAGGAUUUCUAAAGACCAGACACGGUAUCAAUAUAUUGUUCCUGGAUCAUGAAAGCAGCCAGGUUGGCGGUGUAAGAAGCCAGGAAGAUGACAGCGAAGAAGGCCCAGACCAGGACCAUGAUUUUACUAGUGGUUCCUUUGGGGUUUUCAAUGGGGACGGAGUUGUUGAAGACGAUUCCCCACAGCAGCCACACUGAUUUCCCUAUCGUGAACGUCGGCCCACCCGGCUCUGAGGAAGGAAAUUGUGGAGAGUCAAUGUUUGAAUAAUAAAUCUGGAAUGUCCAUACAAA